GAAACGCUCGUAGUUGGGAAUUUGUUGUAUAUUAUUGGUCUAUCCCAGUGGUCGGUACUGUAUAUGAAUGCAGCAUUCCCUUGAUCAACUAUCUACACUUAAGUGUGUAUUGUGUUGAAUCAAUCUGUAUACUUUGAAGAAAUGAGAGUGUUUCAAGCAAUCUGAUUGAAGGAUAUAUUAGCAUGGAAUAACACUUUACGAUCUAUUAUUGUGUCUGUUGGUUGCCGAGAUAGGGUCACAAAGAGGAGGAUAAUUGGUGGUAUUUAUAUUGCGCAGUCAGAGGUGAAAUUCUUGGAUCUUUGCAAGAUUAUCGAUUGCGGAAGCAUUUGUCAAGAGUGUUUUUAUUGAUCAAGAACGAAAGUUAAGGGAUCGAAGACGAUCAGAUACCGUUGUAGUCUUAACCAUAAACCAUAUCGCCCAGAAAUUGGCGGGUAUAUAUUACGAUUCCGUCAGCAUCUUGAGAGAAAUCAUAGUUUUUGGAUUCCGGGGGGAGUAUGAUCACAAGAUUGAAACUUAAAAGGAAUUGACGGAAAGGCACCACCAGGAGUGGAGCGUGCGGCUUAAUUCGACUCAACACUGGAAAACUUAUCAGGUCCGAACAUAGAAAUGAUUGACAGAUUGAUUGAUUUUUCUUAAUUCUGUGGGUGGUGGUGCAUGGCCGUUCUUAGUUGGUGGAAUGAUUUGUCUGGUUA
rnacentral:rRNA from 1 species